UACGAAGGGGGGCUAGCGUUGCUCGGAAUGACUGGGCGUAAAGGGCGCGUAGGCGGAUGGCACAGUCAGAUGUGAAAUUCCCGGGCUUAACCUGGGGGCUGCAUUUGAUACGUGUUGUCUUGAGUUCGGAAGAGGGUCGUGGAAUUCCCGGUGUAGCGGUGAAAUGCGCAGAUAUCGGGAAGAACACCCGUGGCGAAGGCGGCUCUCUGGGACGGUACUGACGCUGAGACGCGAAAGCGUGGGGGAGCGAACAGG
rnacentral:rRNA from 1 species